AAGUAACCCAUUUGGGAUUAUACUGGUCCCAAUUUUGCACAAAAGAUUCUGCCUGGGCGGGGAAAAAGUUCUAGGGGUUUUGAAAGAUGUAAAUUGCCACUUGUACCAAAGGGAUGCUUAUUGUUGGACCAGAAUCGUUUCUUCAGGCCUAAUUUACAUCUAAAUGUGGAGCAAGAGAGUGACACAGAAGGAAAACUCCACCUUUUCGUCCACUGGAGAAAUGAAGAGAACACUGAUAGUCCCUGAUGUGUACUGUUUUGGGAGUUAUGCAAAAUAAAUGCAUCUGACACUCCUGAUUCACUGCUCGUGAGAGGAGUUUGGUGACUCUGUACAUCAUACCAUGGACCAUAUGUGGAGAACCAAUGAACAUAAUGAAGCUGAUCAGUUGCUCCUAAGGUCACCUCUGGCUUUUUACCAAGGUAACUGCGCAUUGAAAAAGGGAAAUGAUCAGACAUUAGGAACUACUGGACACUGGCUCUGAGCUGACGUUGAUUCCAGGGGACCCAAAACAUCAUUGCGGUCCUCCAGUUAAAGUAGAGGCUUAUGGAGGUCAGAGAGAACUUGAUUGCUUUUUGACUCCAGAAGAUAUCACACUGGACCAUUACAUUGAUGACAUUAUGCUGAUUGGAUCCAGUGAGAAAGAAGUAGCAAACACACUGGACUUAUUGGUGAGACAUUUGCAUGCCAGAGGAUGGGAUAUAAAUCUGCCUAAAUUCAGAGACCUUCUACCUCAGUAAAAUUUCUAGGGGUCCAGUGAUGUGGGGCCUGUCGAGUUAUUCCUUCUAAGGUGAAGGAGAAGUUGCUGCAUUUGGCCCUUCCUACAACCAAGAAAGAGGCACAAUACCUAGUGGGACUAUUUGGAUGUUGGAGGCAACACAUUCCUCAUUUGGGUGUGUUACUCCAGCACAUUUAUCGAGUGACCCGAAAGGCUGCCAGUUUUGAGUGGGGUUCAGAAUAGGAGAAGGCUCUAAAACAGUUCCAGGCUGCUGUGCAAGCUGCUCUGUCACUUGGGCCAUAUGAUCCAGCAGAUUCAAUGGUGCUUGAGGUGUCAGUGGCAGAUAGGGAUGCUGUUUGGAGCCUUUGGCAGGCUUCCAUAGGUAAUCACAGCAGAAGCCUCUAGGAUUUUUGAGCAAAGCCCUGCCAUCUUCUG
rnacentral:lncRNA from 10 species